UGGAGGGCAAGUCUGGUGCCAGCAGCCGCGGUAAUUCCAGCUCCAAUAGCGUAUAUUAAAGUUGUUGUGGUUAAAAAGCUCGUAGUUGAACCUUGGGCCUGGCUGGCCGGUCCGCCUCACCGCGUGUACUGGUCCGGCCGGGCCUUUCCCUCUGUGGAACCCCAUGCCCUUCACUGGGUGUGGUGGGGAAACAGGACUUUUACUGUGAAAAAAUUAGAGUGCUCCAGGCAGGCCUAUGCUCGAAUACAUUAGCAUGGAAUAAUAGAAUAGGACGUGUGGUUCUAUUUUGUUGGUUUCUAGGACCGCCGUAAUGAUUAAUAGGGACAGUCGGGGGCAUCAGUAUUCAAUUGUCAGAGGUGAAAUUCUUGGAUUUAUUGAAGACUAACUACUGCGAAAGCAUUUGCCAAGGAUGUUUUCAUCAAUCAGGAACGAAAGUUAGGGGAUCGAAGACGAUCAGAUACCGUCGUAGUCUUAACCAUAAACUAUGCCGACUAGGGAUCGGACGGUGUUAUUUUUUGACCCGUUCGGCACCUUACGGGAAAC
rnacentral:rRNA from 1 species